rnacentral:rRNA from 1 species
CUGGCUGCAACUGUUUAAUAAAAACACAGCACUGUGCAAACACGAAAGUGGACGUAUACGGUGUGACGCCUGCCCGGUGCUGGAAGGUUAAUUGAUGGGGUCAGCCGCAAGGCGAAGCUCUUGAUCGAAGCCCCAGUAAACGGCGGCCGUAACUAUAACGGUCCUAAGGUAGCGAAAUUCCUUGUCGGGUAAGUUCCGACCUGCACGAAUGGCGUAAUGAUGGCCAGGCUGUCUCCACCCGAGACUCAGUGAAAUUGAACUCGCUGUGAAGAUGCAGUGUACCCGCGGCAAGACGGAAAGACCCCGUGAACCUUUACUAUAGCUUGACACUGAACAUUGAGCCUUGAUGUGUAGGAUAGGUGGGAGGCAUUGAAGUGUGGACGCCAGUCUGCAUGGAGCCAACCUUGAAAUACCACCCUUUAAUGUUUGAUGUUCUAACUCGGCCCCAUAAUCUGGGGUGAGGACAGUGUCUGGUGGGUAGUUUGACUGGGGCGGUCUCCUCCCAAAGAGUAACGGAGGAGCACGAAGGUUAGCUAAUCACGGUCGGACAUCGUGAGGUUAGUGCAAAGGCAUAAGCUAGCUUGACUGCGAGAGUGACGGCUCGAGCAGGUACGAAAGUAGGUCUUAGUGAUCCGGUGGUUCUGAAUGGAAGGGCCAUCGCUCAACGGAUAAAAGGUACUCCGGGGAUAACAGGCUGAUACCGCCCAAGAGUUCAUAUCGACGGCGGUGUUUGGCACCUCGAUGUCGGCUCAUCACAUCCUGGGGCUGAAGUAGGUCCCAAGGGUAUGGCUGUUCGCCAUUUAAAGUGGUACGCGAGCUGGGUUUAGAACGUCGUGAGACAGUUCGGUCCCUAUCUGCCGUGGGCGUUGGAAGAUUGAGAGGGGCUGCUCCUAGUACGAGAGGACCGGAGUGGACGAAUCACUGGUGUUCGGGUUGUCAUGCCAAUGGCAUUGCCCGGUAGCUAAAUUCGGAAGAGAUAACCGCUGAAAGCAUCUAAGCGGGAAACUUGCCUCGAGAUGAGUCUUCCCUGGGGCUUUAAGCCCCCUGAAGGAACGUUAAAGACUAUGACGUUGAUAGGCUGGGUGUGUAAGUGCAGCGAUGCAUUGAGCUAACCAGUACUAAUGAUCCGUGAGGCUUAACCU